GGAUCCUAGUCGGGUUCAUUAACCGCCAAGCCACAAAGGGAACUCCCGUUUCUUCAUUAAGAACUCUUGUCCCCAAAAAAAAAAAAACCCAAGGGAUCUCUAUUUCAGACUUCAGCAAACUUUACUGAGAACUGAAGUGCUCUAAGAACUGGAUCCAUCGGAGGAAACAGGGGAGACGCAUGUGUAAAGAAGGAUUCCGGCCCAACACAACGUGCAAAGAGGGGCCUUGUAUGGUGCAGGAGACAGUGGUUAAGCGCCCAGAGCCAUCAGCCCCCCUUGAGCCCACACUGCAGGCUAAGCCGUCUUCCAGGCUGGGAGGCGGGGAGAGGAAAGCCAUAUUCUAGGAGGAAGGAACAGCUUGUAAAAAACACAGAAAUCUGCAAGUGUGUAACCAGGGAAUGCAUUCAAGGACUGCGGUUUAUUUGAAGGCAGGGACCCUUCUUGAGCUUCAAUCAAGACACUCCCUGAAACCAGCCACUGUGUGUUCAGUUAUGAAACAACAAAAUUGAAGACUACUGAUGACAUGUUGGGAAUAUAUCCACAAACACUAUCUAAAAAGCAAGGGGAGAUUAAAAGUUCAAUAUCUUUCAACUGUCUAGGAGUGAAAUCCAGCCCUGGCCCCAGCCCCCCAUAUAGCACCUAUGGUUAUCAUUCCACUUGCGUACAUUUGACUUUCUUAUGUGUUUGAGAAUGCAUUCUUUUCUUAAAUAAUGACCUCGGUACUAGACACAAUAAAACCUUGAGAGAGCA